ACUACAUUCAAAAUAUUAUCUCUAUAAAAUUUACCAAAGAACAGAAGCGUUAUUUUGGAGAAUGAAGCAAGUAUCUUCCAAGCUUGUAUUGCUGGUUUCUCUUAUUGUCACUGUCUUCCAUCUUGCAAAUGGAGCCGACGUGAAUCAUCAAGGGCAAUGUGACUCAGAUCUUGAAUGUUACACCAUGCGUAGUUGUCAGAGAGGUCCAGGAUAUUGCGAUCAGAAAGACGGAAAGUGUAAGUGUCCUAAAUUACAAGUUGUGGAUACAAAUGGGGCGGACGUGAAUCAUCAAGGACAAUGUGACUCAGACCUUGAGUGUUACACCAUGCGUAGUUGUCAGAGAGGUCCAGGAUAUUGCGAUCAGAAAGACGGAAAGUGUAAGUGUCCUAAGUAGAGAAACAAAUAAACAUGACUAGAACAUAUGAGUCUUAUGUACCCAGACUUAAACAUGGGCAAAUAAAGUAUGUAUCCCAAAAAUAAAUAAAUAUAUUAUUAGAAGACUAA